rnacentral:misc_RNA from 1 species
GCGCCAUAGUAGAGAAAUCGUUCAAACAACAAUCGUUCGUUGUCAAAAAGUUAUGAAUUUUUAUUAUCGAUCACUCGGCAAAGCGGUUGGCCGGGGGUGUAACGGGGGCCGCGAAACGUUUCGUCUGAUCGUUCUCGCGGGUGAUUCUGAACGGUGGCAACAAGCCCCGAGUGUUAGGGGCCUCGUUUCAAAGUUUCUGUUUGGCGCCUCGCGCGGCAGCAUAACGUCCGUGCCGGCCGCCAUGUUGUAAUACUGGUGUUGUCAGGCAUCAUGGGUUAACACGGGUAAAGUACGUAGCGGGCAUUUUUACGUGUGCAUAGGUGUUUUUUGGGUCGGUGUCGACGCGUUUUCGCGCUCAGGUUGUCGUCCGUACCGGGGCCCGUUCCGUUGAGCAGAGUUUGCGGGCCGCGGGUGCCGCGUUCCUGCGCAUUUAUACCUACGAUCGGUCGGUCCGUUCGUCCGAGUGAGUGCAACGUCUUGCUAACGCAGGGAGUCGUCUACUGACCGCGAGGUCCCGAGCAUCAUCCCCAGUGUGCGGGAGGUGAACAAUAACGACGUCGCCGGGGUCGUCCCGAUGUCCUCGUACUGCGUCAAUGUUUUCCAGUGACACGUGCAGUGUGGGAGAUACACCUGGGGGUUUUGAGCUACUAUGGCCAAAAUUCUUGGUAAGGAUCCCGUUACAUACGCCAAGGAACGGGACGGUUUCCUCAGGGAGCUGCACCACUUCCAUGAGAGUCGGGGGACUCCAUUUCGUCGGGCGCCCAUUUUAAGCGGCCACGAGAUCGACUUGUACCUCCUCUACUCCCUCGUCACCGAACAAGGAGGAUGGAUCAAGGUGAAUUCAAAAAAUGGUUGGCACGAACUGUACGAGCACUUUCGCGUACCCGGAAAGUGCGUCAACGGGAGCGUCGCCUUGAAGCAGAUCUAUCUGAGGUAUUUGGAUCGGUGGGAGAAGGUGCACUAUUUAGGCGAGGAAGCCGAUAGGGGUAGCGACGACGAUGAAGAGAGCCGCCACAAGCGCUGGUCCGCUAGGGCUCUUCAUUCUGUACCGUUGACGUACAACUAUAGUCAACACAACAUCACUGAAUCAACUAGAGAUUACAACCACCUCUCAACAGACCUCUACAAAGCAUCAGACUACGACCGUUUAGCUCUAUCGCUUCUGUCGCCAUUGCCCAAUGAACAAGAUUUUGCAAUAAACGUAUGCACUCUUCUGUCAAACGAUGGAAAACACACCUUAAAAAUUGAAAGACAUCCUCGGAUAGUUGAUUACCUGGUGGCUCACGCUGGAGUUUUCAGUCACCCUUCUAUGCGGGCGGUUUUCGAGGAUUCUUACAACAAAGUCCGAAGGCAUCCGAUAAACACUUUCUGGAACGAAGUGAUCGAAUCGGAAGAAUUUUUGGAUCUCACCAAUGAGAAAAAAUAUUCAUGUUCGGAAACCGUUCGUGCUGUGGCCACGGGAGGUAUCGAACCCGGCAUUCCCCUCAGUGACGUACCUGCCGAAUCCGACGAGAAAGUGGUCGCGACGGAAGUGCAAAGGACACCAUCGAGCGGCAAUAGUAACUUAGAAAAUGUGAUAAGUGAUUUCUAUGAGUGUUGUAGUGAUAGUGACCUAAAUGAUGAAAGGUUUAAGUUAAGGUUAGGGCCUACGGACAGUGAAUUGUUUUCGUUAGGCAGGAAUCUUGGAACGAGAGAUUAUAUCGGUCAACGAGUUUUGCAGGUCGCGACAAUAUUAAGGAACUUGUCGUUUAUCGAUGAGAACGUUCCCAUUUUAUCGAACAAUCGGACUUUUGUGCGUUUUAUGUUGUUGUGUUUGUGUUCCAGAUGGGGUCCGCUACAGAACCUCGGUUUUGAUAUGUUAGGCAACAUUUCAUCCGAGUUUCAAGUAAAAGACCCCCAAAACGACCGUCUAGCCACUCAUCUCCUCAAAAUCGUCACCGUCGGUUUAAAAAGCGAAGAUCGCAGUUCCUGCAUAUCGUGUUUAGACGCACUCAAUAAACUCAGUCAAAACGAAUUGAACGAAGACUCUUUAACGCGCGCUUUGGAAAGCUUAGUUUACGAACGUGUGUGUACCUUCUUGACGAUCCACGACGUCAUGCUUCUCAUAUAUACUUUGGAGUGUUUGUACUCUCUAUCUUCUCUCGGUGAACGUGCGUGCAACUACAUAGUCAAUAAUCACGGUGUCGUUGACACUCUUGUGUCUUUGGUCACAGUUGAAGGUAAAAGUUAUGGCCCUAAAGCCUGUAUUGGUAUGAAACUUGUUGAAACCGUUCCCGGUGGAUCUUUAGCUACCCAACCGGGUGCUACAUCUACGGUUACUAACGUUUCUGGUACAUCAUCGUCCAUUCCUGCGUCUAGUGCAAAUACUCCAACAACUGUUGUUAGUUCAAUAUCUACAAAAUCGGGAAAUUUGAGUAAUACACCACAAAGAGUUGUUCAAAUGGCACCACAAAGAUUAAUUACAAUUACCCCAACGUCACAAAGUUCGACGACAACUCCAAUAACAAUACAACCUACGGCUGGAAGUCCUCAAGCAACCCCGGCUAUCACUCCUCAACAAAUGGUACAACAACAACACGCUCAUCAACAAGCUAUUCAAGAAAACGAACAAUUUGCAUUAGCCUGGCUGAGAGCAACUUAUGAACCAAGUAAUAAUGGCCGUGUUGACCACCAAGAAUUAUACAAACAUUACAUAAAUUCCUGUGCGAAAAUUGGGAGGAGAGGAGUGAUAGCUCCGUUACAUUUUCCAAGAUGUGUCCGAUCGGUCUUUGGUGGUACAGUAGGCCCAAAUCCUGUGAAACCAGCGAUGCCAAGCGAUCCCCAAUACUACGACGGCAUUAAGGCGCGCGCGCAGCCGUUAUCGGUAAACGUCCAACAACAACAACCAUCCGUAACCACCACAACCAACACCUCUGUCGCCGUACAAAGUCCUUCCAAAAGUAUCGCGUCAACUGCGAAGCGCAAAGCUUCUACCGUCUCGCUGUCGGUUACGGCCGACUGCUCGGACACGCCCCCCGCGUCUCCUGCCUCACCCAUUCUCAAAGCGCAACUGAGCGCGCCCCCAAAACCCAGAGAGUCGACCGUUACCGUCACCACUACCGCGACCACCACCAAUAUCGUUGUUUCGACCAACACUUCCACCGUUGUACUAACUAACAAGAGCGACCCCAAAAGUCAGGUUAUGGCACACCCCCAUUUAAGUCAGGCUUUACUGGGAACGGGGCAGAACGCGUCUUCUUCUACAGGUGGUAAAGAGUUAGGAACGGGUCAACCAAAUACGUCGCUCAUCAAAAGUUUACUAGCGACUAAGGUAACCACAGAGUGCAUGACUGCAGUAAGCAUGAAGACUGCUACCGACAGCCAAACAGUAACAACACAGGUUGUGGCUAGGCAGCAACAGCAAAGAUUAUUAGCUCAACAAACUCAAACGCCUGAAAAUAAAUUAAACAAAUCGACUCUUAUUGAAACGCCUAAAGGGAUUCGUUUAAAUGGAGCUCGUCAACUUUUCUCAGAUACAGAUACUACAGAAUCUGAUGUGACAUCAACGACUCAAAAUACGACAUCGAAUAUACGAAAAGAACCCCCACAACCACCUCCACCUCCACUGGCACCAUUAAGCAGUCAAAAACCAAAACAUAUGAGAAUAGAAAACGAAGACAGUGAUUCAACGGGUAAUAAUUCGUUGGCUUCGAGUACGGGUUUGGGAAAUAUCGGAAUGGGUGGUGUUUCCAGUACGGAGGAUGGUGAUAAUUCACUAACUAGUUUUGAAGGACUUUUAAAUGGGAUUCCAAGUAUUGAUAAUCCGUUAAAUGACGAUAGUAAUUCCAAAGAUUCGGUGAAAAAUAGUUUGAAAAAACCUCUGAUGUUGGCGGAAUUAUUAGAAAAGAAAGUUGAUAAAGAUACGUUGAUGAUGAAUGGGGUUUUGGGGAAGGAGUUGAGAAAAGGCGAAAAGAGUGUUGAUUUGGUUGAAAAUCACAUAGACAAAAUUUUAAGUAAAGAAAAUAAUUUAAAUGAAGCAAGAGAACAAUGUGGAUUUAUCGAGGAAGAUUCAAAUUGUAUUAACGUAAAAUUGAAUGAGAAUAAAAUAAGCUUAAAAAGAGCAGCUAGCGAUGAUCUUCCUUCAGAACCGGAGGCUAAAAAACCUCUCUUAUUAACUAACGUCAAUGGCAACGCAGAUUCACCCGCUCCAGAUUCCGUAGCCAGCUCAAAUGGUGAUGAUCAACCAACAGAGAAAGUAUCAACGGCAGCAGCUAAAUUAUUUGCUGAUAUGGCCGCUGACAUCCUUGAAGACGAAGACGUUGACGAAUUAAUGCAAGAAGUCCAACAACCAACAACAGUUUCUCCUCCAAUUCCAGUUGAAGAACCAUCAUCCGUUGUAAUAUCGUCUCAAAGCAACGUAAUGUCUCAAACGAGUUCAGUUCCGCAAGUUUUCGUCGAUGGAAACCAGCAAGUAUUAUUAACACAACCAACACGUCAAAUAAUCGUGUCUCAACCCCAACUUAAAACGCAAAGCGGUCAAGUUAUCGUUCAAAAUCCCCAACAACAACGACCAGGACAAAUUAUUCUUCAACAAGCCAAUACUGGUCAAAUUUUAUUGUCUCAAGGGCUUCAAGGACCAGUUCAGUUGGUUGCUAGUUCAACUCAACCAGGUCAAUAUGUCAUCCAAACGAGUGGAACUCAAAAUUAUAUGGUCGCGCAACCCCAAACCGCGAUGGUACAUGGUCAACCCCAAACGGUUUUAGUUGCGCAAACACCACAACAACAAGGAACUAACACAAAAACGAUCAUCAUCCUUCAACAACCAUCGCAACAACAAAAGGUUGUUGUAACUCCUCAAGGACAACAAGUGGUUGUAACUCAGGUUCAAAGGCCAAUUUUACAAUCGUCGAGCGUUAGCAACAAUAAUAAUAAUAAUCAAAGUUCGACGAGCGGUGGUAUUAUUAAAAGUGCUGCUUCGCAAUGUACCUCUACUAUUACAACUACAAUCACAGCGGAGAAAAAGACUGAGGAGAUUAAGGUGUCUCCAAAACCGAAAAUCAUUCGUGAUUUAACGACACCUUUCGUUUGUGAAUGGGGUGAUUGCCAAAUUGAAACGAAAUUUAAAUCAGCAAACCAAGUUUACUUGCACGUUUGUGAAAUGCAUGUUCCAAAAGGUUCCGAGGAAAUUAUGUGCCAGUGGGAUCGAUGUGACAAUAUGAAGAGGAAAAGAUUCUCUCUAAUGACGCAUUUAAAUGACAAACAUUGUAAUACAGAGGCUAUGAGGGCAAGUUUAACUCGUCGGAAACAAGCCCAACAUUCAGGGAAAAGUGAAACAGCUUCGACUUCAGCAGUGGCCCCUCCGCAUCCUGGUUAUGCACCAGAUGCAGCGUUCCACGCGAUUAAACGGCAUGCGUUAGAAUUUGUAAAUCCAAAGGAAUUACAGGGUUCUACUGUAAGUUCUUCUCAACCUCCGCCCAGACCUGGGCCUUCAAUAACUGAACAGGACGACAAUGAGGGACCGGUUACGAAAAGCAUCCGUCUAACAGCCUCUCUCAUACUUAGGAAUCUCGUAAUAUACAGCAGUAAUUGCAGGAGGUACUUAAAGCAUUAUGAACCGCAUUUGGCGAAUGUAGCCUUAAGUAACGUGGAAUCAUCGAGGACGAUAGCGCAAGUUUUGUACGAUAUGAACGACGUCUCGUCGAGCCACAGGUGACCAAGACGCGACCACAAGUGCGUUCGUUUUUGGGACAUUCAGUGAAAAAGAGUAUAAAAUAAAACUUGGCUAAUGAACGAUUAUUUUGACGGUGGAAAAAAGAAAAUAGGACUUAAGGAAUGUGUUGUAUAAAAAAAAACGAAGUAAUAAGUGGCCGUGUACAAAUCGAUAUAUGAAUAGGUGUAAGAGCCUAAUUGUUAUUUUUAUAUUAUUUACUAGUGUGUAAAACGUAAUUGCUUCGAAAUCUAAAUCUAAGUAGCUCGGUUUUGAUGAGGAGAGAAAGGUUUUAAGGUGAUGAAAGAUGAUAAUGAGAAUGACAUAAUAAUGAUGGGUGAGAGGAAGAUGACGGAGUACAGUUUUUUUGUGUUUUUUUUAUAUGCAGUCCAAUGAAAUCUGUAUAUAAAAAAAUAUGUUGUAAUCGUGAAAAAACUGUGCAAUUUAUUUUGGAAUAUAUUUAUUAAAAACACCAUCCCUAUAGCAAAAAAAGGAAAUAAUGAAACGAGGUUUUGUUACUGUCCAACGUUUCUUGUGAUAUACAAGCACACGCAGUAUUAAGCGGAAAGGUUUCGAGAAAGGGGCUCGAGAAUCUCUAGUUUGUAAUUUAAAAACGAUUUUAUAGCAAAGCAAGCAAAGCAGACUGAUUUACUACAAUCCUCGUGGACGCGAACGGAAGUGAGUUUUAAAAAACUAAAUAAGUUUCAUGUGUUUUAGCAUAUCCAACUCUACUUACCACUUUAAAAAAAGAGGAGAGAGUAUGAAACUAAAAGAUAUAAAAAAUUACACAACAUAACACACACAUACACACAGACACAUUGUAAAACUGUUUACAAACGUGUAAAAGAAUAAAAGCUGCAUUUAAUGUCCAAGUUUGGUCCUUUCUCGUGUUUGUUUUCAGGUAUUCAUUUAUAUUUUGAAAAAAAAACUUUACCUUUUAAAAAAAAAGUAAAAGAAACGACGUCUUACGUGUCGCCGUUUUCUUUUUUUUAUUUUGUCUUUUUUUCGAGCGCUCGCAAUAGGUCUUAAGGGUCGUUGGCCGCACGCAUGAAGAAAUUAACCCCUUUAUUCCUAAGAGUAACUAUUUUUAAUCGCCACGGGGACGUUUCUUCAAACUGGCGGUCGCACACCUCGUAAAUUGUAGCAGUUAUGUAUCAUAGAUCAUCGUAUAUUUAAUCCAUUAUUGUUUAGUUAUUUACAAAUCAUUUUUUAUCGAUGUUAAUAAAACUUUUGUCCAAAGUUGAUAUACUACUACUACA